UGUCUGCGUGCAAGGAGCUGGCUGCGUUCAGUUCCCAGUGGGAAGAGACCCACGUUGCAAAGUUACCAUCACAACUGGCACCAGCUGGCAUCCUUGUUCGCUGGCCCAAUAUCGAAUGAGCCAUGCAGGCUGAAUGAUGUUCCCAGCCCCGAAAGCAGCUGUAGAUACCACUGGGUGAAAACUGUUUUCUCAGCAGCUUCCUCCCCCAGAAUUCAGUGGGGUGGUUGAAGGGUUUAAUGGGCCAUGAAUUAACUUCAUAGCCUUAGAGGUGUUCAAGGCAUUGGGCCCUCCAAUGCUGAGAAGAUCUGCAGUUUCAAGAGAGACUCAGACAAGCCUGGAUGUGCCUGCAGCAGAAAUGCAAGCAUCAAACCAUUAAAUACUAGGGGGCUUGCUUUAUGCUGUGCCACCUUAGGUGACUGGCUGGCUGUGUAUGGUCUGGCCAUCAGACUGUACCUUUUCCUGGAAGUCGAGCUAUUUACGCUUUCCAGCAGGGUGAAUGUUAAACGCAAAUAUUUAAAACAGUCUCUUGGACGCAUAGGGAACAAUUUGAUGAUUGGGCUGAUACUGCUGAAGACAGGGAGAGCUGCUGACUCACAGACAUUUGCCAAGAAGCUCGUGCAAACCCAUUUCAGCCUGUGGCACGUCUCCAAGCUGGUCGUGUCAACAGUCCGCUCUUCAGAUCAGUCGCACUGGCGGGAGGGCGGGUGCACAAGACGGUGCCGGUUGCUGCCUGCAUUUUAAGCUCCAGGUCACGCGGACCUGCUGUGAGCAGGGUCGGACGCCGUCGUGCUUCAAACCUUAGCCUCUGCUUGGAGCCCAGCUUGUGCUAUUCUUUAUUAAUUGGGUAACACAUGGCACCCAGAGGCCCCAGCCAAGACUGUGACCCUAUUGUGCAGGGUACUGUGUGUGCAGAGAAUGAGAGUUAGUCCCUGCUCCGCAGAGCUUACGGGCUACACAGACAAAGUCUGGGAAGGGAAACUGAGGCACGGAGAAUUACAGUGAUGGGCCCGUGGUCAUACCGUCGUGAGCGACAGAGCCAGAAAUAGAAACCCCAGUCUCCUGAGUCUCGUGCCAUCUGUGCUAGGUCAUACCACCGCUGCGAGACCGUCAUACCUCUCCUGGACUAGCAUUCCCACUGGUGGAGCUGACCCAGGGAGAGCAACAAUGGGAAAUUUGGG